UACGGGGGGGGUAAGCGUUGUUCGGAAUUACUGGGCGUAAAGGGCUCGUAGGCGGCCAACCAAGUCGGACGUGAAAUCCCUCAGCUUAACUGGGGAACUGCGUCUGAUACUGGAUGGCUUGGAUUUGGGAGAGGGAUGCGGAAUUCCAGGUGUAGCGGUGAAAUGCGUAGAUAUCUGGAGGAACACCGGUGGCGAAGGCGGCAUCCUGGACCAACAUUGACGCUGAGGAGCGAAAGCCAGGGGAGCAAACGGG
rnacentral:rRNA from 1 species